GCUGGGCGUGGUGGUGGGCGCCUGUAAUCCCAGCUACUUGGAAGGCUGAGGCAGGAGAAUCAUUUGAACCCAGGAGUUGGAGGUUGCAGUGAGCUGAGAUCGAGCCACUGCAAUCCAGCCUGGGUGACAGAGUGAGACUUUGUCUCAG
rnacentral:SRP_RNA from 1 species